AUAGCAUACAGGGGCACAAGGAGCAGUGGUGGUAAAUUGCCUAUUUUGUUAGGCCUUUGCCCUUUACAAAUGGCAAUAACUAAUAAAAUUAACUAUUCAAGACCACUUCACAUGACUGCUUUAAAAUUAGUUCCAGAUAGGAAGACAACCGAAUUUAAGAAAUCAACGAACUUAAAAGUAUCAAGAAAAACAGUUAUAACUGUUUCAGUAGUUAUAUUGGGCGCGAUUUUAAUUUAUUACUCAAUAUUGUACACCACAUACACCAUAAUUGAAAAAACUGUAGAAAGUACUGAUAAAAAAUGAAUUGUAUUAAAACUUUCACCUUUAUUUAAUCAUUAAUUACUUUUUUCUAUUUCUAUUUAUUGUCUUGACUUAUUCUUGUAAUUUUGAAAUAAUAAUUUGGCGCAAGUUUUGGGACUUCCCAUAAUAUAUUAAACGCACACGAACUCUGUAACGCACUCAGAACGAUAUACCUUGAAUAUAAGAAUAAAAACGAAUGAAUUAAUUUAAAUAUUUAAUAAUAUCUUAGUAUAACAUACAAAUAUUUACAAUAUAUUGCACAGAGCUGUGUGCCACACUGAAAAUCAAUGUGUACAAAAAUAGACUCUGUUUUGUAUACUACAAUAUCAUUUAUAAUGGUAGCAUUAACGAUUUCUCAUGGUAAAAUUAUAAAAAUUAAGUUUAAAUAUCCAAGCAAUUACGAAGAAAAUGCGAAAGAAACUGCUACACAACCAUGCUACAAUAAUUAUUAGAUUUUAAAAUGGUAACACUGCAAAAAUUGAAUCGUAUAACAGACUUUACGAUCUUAUUAUUCUCAUUUGAAUAAUUAAAAACAAAAAGAACAAUUCGUAACAAUUACAUAAAACAAAAACAUUUUCAGUACAACAGCAACUUUUUUUAUUGUCCUCCAGAAUUUAUUUUACAUGAGAAGGCAGCGAAUAAGAGAAUAAACAGGACAAAUGAGAAUAA